CAUCCUUACAGGUUUCCUCUCUGUCAAGCAGCCUGACCCAAAUCAUUACCAUUUCCAAGGCAUAAUCCAACCCAAAAAUAACUUUUUAGCACACCACACUCAGACUUUGGACCAGUCUUCAUAUGGAUCACCUUAACUCCUCUGAAUGAAUGAUCAAGAAUCUAUACACAGUCUGUGAAUGCUGCAACUCCAAGCCCUCAUCUUUUAAAGGCCGCCCCUUCCAGACUGUUCAAGGCAACCACAAGCCCAUCUCCGGACCGCUCCUUUUAUUGUCUCCAUCAUUUUAUAUCAUUUAGAGUCACUCUCAUUCUUAUCUAGAUAUUUCAAUUACAUGGCUUCUUUGCCACAAUGUAAUUUAUUGAAUCACUGGUUUGCGGAGUAUUAUUGGUCUGCUAUGUUUCUGGGAAGGUUUCGCUGAGCACAGAAACUCCUGUUUUUUUUGUUUGUUUUUUUUUUCCAUGGAAGGAAAUGAAGCUGAUAUUUUUCUAUGGUUCAAUAACUCAAUUUUUUUUUAAAUCACAAACAUUGUUUGUGAUAAAAAAAAAAACAACAACAAUACAAUUCUGCACAUACACCAUGCCUAUCUUUUUAACUAAACUUCCAAAUGUAUAAUAUGGACUGUUGGGAAAAUAUGUUAAAAAUAUUGAAGUUGUUAAUGUGCAAAAUUUACAGAUGUAAAGAGUAACAUGCAACAUGUAAGAGUCCUUACGACUGACAGGUGCUAUCCAUCACCAUACUUAUAUUGUAUUGUACUGUAUAACCUCAGUAAAAGUUACAAAGUUCAAUGACAA